AGCUCCAAUAGCGUAUAUUAAAGUUGUUGCAGUUAAAAAGCUCGUAGUUGGAUCUAAGGAUUUGGACGGAUGGUACGCUUCAGGGUGUCACUGUCUGUCUGGCCUAUAUUUGUCGUGGAGGCCUUAAGUGCUCUUCACUGAGUGCUUUUGGUGCCCGACGCUAUUACUUUGAGAAAAUUAGAGUGCUUAAAGCAGGCAUAAUGCUUGUAUACUGUUGCAUGGAAUAAUAAAAUAGGAGUUCACUUCUAUUUUGUUGGUUUUCGGUUGUGAACUAAUGAUUAACAGGGACAGACGGGGGCAUUUGUAUGGAGGCGCUAGAGGUGAUAUUCUGUGACCGUCUCCAGACAAACUACUGCGAAAGCAUUUGCCAGGAAUGUUUUCACUAAUCAAGAACGAAAGU
rnacentral:rRNA from 1 species